rnacentral:rRNA from 1 species
AACGAACGCUGGCGGCAGGCCUAACACAUGCAAGUCGAGCGAGGACUUCGGUUCUAGCGGCGGACGGGGGAGUAACGCGGGGGAAUGUGCCCUUCUCUACGGAAUAGUCCUGGGUAACUUGGAGUAAUACCGUAUACGCCCUUUUGGGGUAAGAUUUAUCGGGGAAGGAUCAGCCCGCGUUGGAUUAGGUAGUUGGGGGGGUAAUGGCCUACCAAGCCGACGAUCCAUAGCUGGUUUGAGAGGAUGAUCAGCCACAAUUGGACUGAGACACGGACCAGACUCCUACGGGAGGGAGCAGUGGAGAAUCUUAGACAAUGGGGCCAAAUGUGAUAUCGCCAUGCCGCGUGAGUGAUGCAGGCCUUAGGGUUGUAAAGCUCUUUCAGCUGGGAAGAUAAUGACGGUACCAGCAGAAGAAGCCCCGGCUAACUCCGUG